CCUACGGGUGGCAGCAGUGAGGAAUAUUGGUCAAUGGCCGUAAGGCUGAACCAGCCAAGUAGCGUGAGGGAAGACUGCCCUAUGGGUUGUAAACCUCUUUUAUGCGGGGAUAAAGGUGUCCACGUGUGGAUGUUUGCAGGUACCGCAUGAAUAAGGACCGGCUAAUUCCGUGCCAGCAGCCGCGGUAAUACGGAAGGUCCGGGCGUUAUCCGGAUUUAUUGGGUUGAAAGGGUGCGCAGGCGGCCUGUUAAGUCAGCGGUAAAAGCCCGGGGCUCAACCCCGGCGAGCCGUUGAAACUGGCGGGCUGGAGUUGGAGAGAAGUACGCGGAAUGCGCGGUGUAGCGGUGAAAUGCUUAGAUAGCGCGCAGAACCCCGAUUGCGAAGGCAGCGUACCGGCUCCACACUGACGCUGAGGCACGAAAGCGUGGGUAUCGAACAGGAUUAGAUACCCCAGUAGUC
rnacentral:rRNA from 1 species